rnacentral:rRNA from 1 species
UGUAGUCAUAUGCUUGUCUCAAAGAUUAAGCCAUGCAUGUCUAAGUAUAAGCAAUCUAUACUGUGAAACUGCGAAUGGCUCAUUAAAUCAGUUAUCGUUUAUUUGAUAGUACCUUACUACAUGGAUACCUGUGGUAAUUCUAGAGCUAAUACAUGCUAAAAACCCCGACUUCGGGAGGGGUGUAUUUAUUAGAUAAAAAACCAAUGCCCCUCGGGGCUCCUUGGUGAAUCAUAAUAACUUAACGAAUCGCAUGGCCUUGCGCCGGCGAUGGUUCAUUCAAAUUUCUGCCCUAUCAACUUUCGAUGGUAGGAUAGUGGCCUACCAUGGUGGCAACGGGUAACGGGGAAUUAGGGUUCGAUUCCGGAGAGGGAGCCUGAGAAACGGCUACCACAUCCAAGGAAGGCAGCAGGCGCGCAAAUUACCCAAUCCCGACACGGGGAGGUAGUGACAAUAAAUACUGAUACGGGGCUCUUUUGGGUCUCGUAAUUGGAAUGAGUACAAUCUAAAUCCCUUAACGAGGAACAAUUGGAGGGCAAGUCUGGUGCCAGCAGCCGCGGUAAUUCCAGCUCCAAUAGCGUAUAUUAAAGUUGUUGCAGUUAAAAAGCUCGUAGUUGAACCUUGGGUCUGGCUGGCCGGUCCGCCUCACCGCGAGUACUGGUCCGGCUGGACCUUUCCUUCUGGGGAAUCCCAUGGCCUUCACUGGCUGUGGGUGGAACCAGGACUUUUACUGUGAAAAAAUUAGAGUGUUCAAAGCAGGCCUUUGCUCGAAUACAUUAGCAUGGAAUAAUAGAAUAGGACGUGCGGUUCUAUUUUGUUGGUUUCUAGGACCGCCGUAAUGAUUAAUAGGGAUAGUCGGGGGCGUCAGUAUUCAGCUGUCAGAGGUGAAAUUCUUGGAUUUGCUGAAGACUAGCUACUGCGAAAGCAUUCGCCAAGGAUGUUUUCAUUAAUCAGGGAACGAAAGUUAGGGGAUCGAAGACGAUCAGAUACCGUCGUAGUCUUAACCAUAAACUAUGCCGACUAGGGAUCA